UAACCCUUGAACUUGAAGAAAGAAGUUCCA
rnacentral:piRNA from 1 species